AGGAAAGCAGGGGAUCGCAAGACCUUGCGCUUUUGGAGCGGCCGAUGUCUGAUUAGCUAGUUGGUGAGGUAAAGGCUUACCAAGGCUUCGAUCAGUAGCUGGUCUGAGAGGACGACCAGCCACACUGGGACUGAGACACGGCCCAGACUCCUACGGGAGGCAGCAGUGGGGAAUUUUGGACAAUGGGGGAAACCCUGAUCCAGCCAUGCCGCGUGAGUGAAGAAGGCCUUCGGGUUGUAAAGCUCUUUCAGCCGGAACGAAAAGGUUACGGUUAAUACCCGUGACUAAUGACGGUACCGGAAGAAGAAGCACCGGCUAACUACGUGCCAGCAGCCGCGGUAAUACGUAGGGUGCGAGCGUUAAUCGGAAUUACUGGGCGUAAAGCGUGCGCAGGCGGUUUUGUAAGUCAGAUGUGAAAUCCCCGGGCUCAACCUGGGAACUGCGUUUGAAACUACAAGGCU
rnacentral:rRNA from 1 species